ACAUGAACUGGGUGGAAGUUCAGCACCACCCGUGGACUUGCUGCGGUUUCCUCAGUUACAGGGAGGCACAGAUCUGCACUGUCUCAUUCUAUCCAAGUCACAUUCAAAUUGCAGCUUGUGCUUAGCUGUGAAAUAGGAGCAAAAUCCAGGGAUAAAGACUAUGCCAGGCAUUCAAAGAAACCACCUUGGAAGUAGGAUCUGUCAACACCCCACUGCUGCUGCUGCAAAGACAAGGCCAUUCCGAUCUUCCUGGUUGGUGUAAAUAAGUGUGAGGAAACCAGUCCAAGGACCCAGCCACCGUACAGAUGGUGGUUGUACAAGAAUCUAUGUUAACUCCAAAAUGCAGAGGUUUCACAGGACCUCAAAGUCUCAAGACAUUUCCACCAGUACAGAAGUCUUAUCAGUAUCAUUCCUGAAGCUUUCCA